CCUACGGGUGGCAGCAGUGGGGGAUAUUGCACAAUGGGGGAAACCCUGAUGCAGCGACGCCGCGUGGGUGAAGAAGCGCCUCGGCGCGUAAAGCCCUGUCAGCAGGGAAGAAAAUGACGGUACCUGAAGAAGAAGCCCCGGCUAACUACGUGCCAGCAGCCGCGGUAAUACGUAGGGGGCAAGCGUUAUUCGGAUUUACGGGGGGUAAAGGGGGCGGAGACGGGGGUGCAAGCCAGGAGUGAAAGCCCGGGGCGCAACCCCGGGACUGCAGUUGGAACUGCGUGGCGAGAGUGCAGGAGGGGCAGGCGGAAUUCCUGGUGUAGGGGUGAAAUGCGUAGAUAUCAGGAGGAACACCGGUGGCGAAGGCGACCUGCUGGACUGCAACUGACGUUGAGGCCCGAAAGCGUGGGGAGCAAACAGGAUUAGAUACCCGGGUAGUC
rnacentral:rRNA from 1 species